rnacentral:rRNA from 1 species
GAUAAACGCUGGCGGCGUGCAUAACACAUGCAAGUCGAACGAAGGGGCGAACGGGUGAGUAACACGUGAGUAACCUGCCUUAAACAAGGGGAUAGCCUUUGGAAACGAAGAAUAAUACCCUAUAGUGUAAGAUGGACUUGCGUCUGAUUAGCUAGUUGGUGAGAUAAAGGCCCACCAAGGCAACGAUCAGUAGCCGGCUUGAGAGACUGUACCCCCACUUUUGAACUUAGAAACGGUCCAAACUCUACGGGAUGCAGCAGUGGGGAAUAUUGCACAAUGGAGUGAACUCUGAUGCUGCGCCGCCGCGUGACGCAGAAGGCUUUCGAGUCGUAAAGUUCUUUUAUAUGGGAAGCGUUACCAUAAGAAAAAGCCCCGGCUAACUACGUGCCAGCAGCCGCGGUAAUUC